rnacentral:rRNA from 1 species
UAGGGAAUCUUCGGCAAUGGACGAAAGUCUGACCGAGCAACGCCGCGUGAGUGAAGAAGGUUUUCGGAUCGUAAAACUCUGUUGUUAGAGAAGAACAAGGACGUUAGUAACUGAACGUCCCCUGACGGUAUCUAACCAGAAAGCCACGGCUAACUACGUGCCAGCAGCCGCGGUAAUACGUAGGUGGCAAGCGUUGUCCGGAUUUAUUGGGCGUAAAGCGAGCGCAGGCGGUUUCUUAAGUCUGAUGUGAAAGCCCCCGGCUCAACCGGGGAGGGUCAUUGGAAACUGGGAGACUUGAGUGCAGAAGAGGAGAGUGGAAUUCCAUGUGUAGCGGUGAAAUGCGUAGAUAUAUGGAGGAACACCAGCGGCGAAGGCGGCUCUCUGGUCUGUAACUGACGCUGAGGCUCGAAAGCGUGGGGAGCAAACA